UACGGGGGGGGCAAGCGUUGUUCGGAAUUACUGGGCGUAAAGGGCUCGUAGGUGGCCAACUAAGUCAGACGUGAAAUCCCUCGGCUUAACCGGGGAACUGCGUCUGAUACUGGAUGGCUUGAGUUUGGGAGAGGGACGCGGAAUUCCAGGUGUAGCGGUGAAAUGCGUAGAUAUCUGGAGGAACACCGGUGGCGAAGGCGGCUUCUUGGGCCGUACCUGACGCUGAGGCGCGAAAGCCAGGGGAGCGAACGGG
rnacentral:rRNA from 1 species